GCAAAAUGUCCAAAACUCGAGCUAUAUGUUCAGAGAGGUCAAUCAAACUCUGUCCGUCUCGCCGAGACGCCUAAACGAUGUCGUACGACGACGUGGAGAUCGAAGAUAUGGAGUGGAACGACGAGCUCCAGGCGUACACGUACCCGUGCCCAUGCGGAGACUUGUUCCAGAUCACCAAGGAAGACCUGAAAUUGGGGGAAGAGAUCGCUCGGUGCCCUAGUUGUACUCUCUACAUCACCGUCGUUUACAACAUCGAAGACUUCAUCGAUAACAAGCCCUUCGAGCCCUCCCAGCAACAAUCCCUCACCGUCGCUUAGGAUUUCAGAUGGCCUUGUUAUGGAGGUAGCCUAGUGGUGGAAGGAUUCUUCUGAAGUUUUGUGAUUUUAACUCAGUAGUGGGUGUGCAAGUAAGGAGUGAGAAAUUUUGUAUUCAACAUGAAAAGAAAUUGAUUUGAGAUACAUUGAAGGUAUUCUUAUAAUCAUUAUUGAGCUUAAUCUUAUUGCUUGACAUAUUAUUUACUGAAUUAAUGUAAUGUGAUGCUAAUACAAGAAAGGUAUCACUUUAGUCACUAUCUGUAAAUGUUUUCCCAUCUCAAUGUAAGAUGAUGCAAUUGCAAGGAGCUUGUUAUCUUUCGUGAACCUAUUCACCAUUGGAUAA